GUCCACGCCCUAACGAUGUCUACUAGUUGUUGGUGGAGUAAAUCCAUGAGUAACGCAGCUAACGCGUGAAGUAGACCGCCUGGGGAGUACGGUCGCAAGAUUAAACUCAAAUGAAUUGACGGGGGCCGCACAAGCGGUGGAUUAUGUGGAUUAAUUCGAUGCAACGCGAAAACCUUAACCUGGCCUUGACAUGUAACGAACUUUCCAGAGAUGGAUUGGUGCUCGAAAGAGAACGUUAACACAGGUGCUGCAUGGCUGUCGU
rnacentral:rRNA from 1 species